rnacentral:rRNA from 1 species
AACGAACGCUGGCGGCAGGCUUCAUACAUGCAAGUCGAGCGGAAAGGCCCUUCGGGGUACUCGAGCGGCGAACGGGUGAGUAACACGUGGAUAAUCUGCCUUUCGGUGGGGGACGAACGGCUGGAGACGGCCGCUAAUACCGCAUAUCUUUGUUUCGCGCUGGCGAGAUAAAGAAAGGAGCAAUUGCUCCGCCGAGAGAUGAGUCCGCGCCCCAUUAGCUAGUUGGCGGGANAAUAGCCCACCAAGGCUACGAUGGGUAGCCGAGCUGAGAGGUUGAUCGGCCACACUGGAACUGAGACACGGUCCAGACACCUACGGGUGGCAGCAGUAGGGAAUAUUGCGCAAUGGGCGAAAGCCUGACGCAGCCAUGCCGCGUGGAUGAUGAAGGCCUU